rnacentral:tRNA from 1 species
AGGGGUGUAGUACAAUGGUAGUAUGAUGGUCUCCAAAACCACAGACGUGGGUUCAAUUCCUACCACCCCUGCCA